rnacentral:ncRNA from 15 species
AUCUUUAUAAUGCGUCGGUUUUUUGGUGAAGUGAGUUUACGUUAAAAGGCUGCUUUAGUAACAGCCGAUGGAUUGUGAAUGUUUUCCCGGAGGGGGUCACAGAAAUCACGUAAUGCGCUUUUGUGUUCAAUUU